AUAUGUAUAUAUACAAUUCUGCUCCCUUUGGAUACCCUAAAUUGGACACGUCUGACCUAUUAAACACUGCUUUAUGUUAAGUACUAAGAAGAUAAAAUGACAUAGACCCUGUUGUAAUGGAAUUUAUAAUUCAGUUUAUAGGGGAAACAAAUAACCCUUUUCCUCUACCCUUUUAGGUUCACUGGAGCACUGCAAAUUAGACUGACAAAAGACAGAUUAUCAGGAGAGAAGGCAUACAAAGAAGCUAAUAGGCCGAAAAGCUUAUAUACCAUUUCAAACAAAGAAAGAUAAACUGUGGAGAUUUGACAGAAAGAAAAAAGGGUUUGGGGCUUUCAAGAGCAGUCCACUACGGGAAGAUCUCGCUCCGGACAAGUAAACACCAAUACCACCAACCUGAGUAGGCCUUCCAUGAAAUACUGGGGACACUAAGAAGCCACACCCCCUGAAACAUUCUAUGGUCAUUCAGCAUUUGAAGCAAAUUGGAAAGGUGAAAAACCUGAUAAGUGGGUGCCUCAUGAGCUCACCGAAAAUUGUUUUAAAAAUUGUCGUUUUGAAGUGUCAUCUUCUCUUAUUCUAUGCAACAACAAUGAACCAUUUCUUGAUUGGAUUGUGAUGUGCGAGGAAAAGUGGAUUUUAUAUGACAACUGGCGAUGACCACCUCAGUGGUUGGACCGAGAAGAAGCUCCAAAACACUUCCCAAAGCCAAACUUGCACCAAAAAAGGUCCUGGUCACUGCUUGGUGGGCUGCUGCUGGUCUGAUCCACUGCAGCUUUCUGAAUCCCUGGGAAACCAUUACACCUGAGAAGUAUGCUCAGCAAACCAAUGAGAUGCACCGAAAACUGCAAUGCCUGCAGCUGGCUUUGGUCAACAGGAAGAGCCCAAUUCUUCUCCACCACAAUGUCCGACUGCACAUCACAACCCACGCUUCAGAAGUUGAACAAAUUGGGCUACGAAGUUUUGCCUCAUCUCCCAUAUUCACCUGACCUCUCGCUGAGAAGUAGCUUUGGAGCUUCUUCUCGGUCCAAACACUGAGCUGGUCAUCGCCGGUUGUCAUAUAAAAUCCACUUUUCCUCGCACAUCACAAUCCAAUCAAGAAAUGGUUCAUUGUUGUUGCACAGAAUAAGAGAAGAUGACACUUCAAAACUACCACUUCUUCAAGCAUCUCGACAACUUUUUGCAGGGAAAAUGCUUCCACAACCAGCAGGAUGCAGAAAAUGCUCUCCAAAACUUUGUCAAAUCCUGAAGCAUGGAUUUUUAGGCUACAGGAAUAAACUUAUUUCUCACUGGCAGAAAUUUAUUUAUUGUAAUGAUUCCUUUUUUGGUUAAAGACAUGUUUGAGCCUAGUUAUAACGACUUACAAUUCACGGUCCAAAACUGUAAGUACUUUUUGCACCAGCGAGAUGUGCGUAUGAGAAGCUUAUUUCACCAAGCCUCUUAUCUAGUCAUCUGUAUAAUUAUUUCAAGCACAGGAGGGAUCCUACUUCUUACUGGGGAGGAUUAAGGAAGGCUUCCUGGAGGAUUGUCUCAGAGCUUGCUGCAGGUACAUAUUGAAAAGCAAUUCAUUACAAUUUUCUGUAAGAGACUGUGGCUGAACAAUGAUACACAGAUCAGCAAACUGAGGCUUGGAGAAGUGGAAAACUUGCCUAAGAUUAAACAGCAUUAAAGGAACAGAGGCUGGGCUUGCAACUCAGCUCUGGGACUCCAAAGUCUGCCCUUUCCAACUACAUCAUCUUGCUGAUCGCGAGCUCAGUUGAUGGUAAAGACCUGUGAUUUUGGCCAUUACAAACAGUGCUGUUGUGAAUGUUGUGCCUGCCUGUCUUCCAGCUGGACAUAGGUAGGUGUUUCUGUUGGGUGGUAUGCAGAAGUGAAAAUGCUGGGUCAUGAUAUAUGCACAUGCAGCUUUGGAAGAUAGUGCCAAAUAGUUUUUCAAAGUGUAUGAGAGUUUCAGUUCCUCCCCAUCCUCGCCCACACUUGGUAUUUUCUGCAUUUUUAUUGUAGCCAUACUGGUGGGUGUGUGGUGGUAUCUCACUGUGGUUUGAAUUUGAAUUUCAUUUUGAGUGGCUCUGUGGCAGCCCAGGAAUGAAGCUAGGGCAUCAGAUAAAAGAUGUUACCGCAGACAUAUGUCUGUUCUCGCUUUUGAGAGAUGCGGCUAUAUUAGUCUGUUCUCAUGCUGCUAAUAAAGACAUAACUGAGACUGGGUAAUUUAUAAAGGAGAGAGGUUUAAUGGACUCACAGUUCCACAUGGCUGGGGAGGUCUCACAAUCAUGGCAGAAGAUGGAGGAAGGAAGAGCAAAGGGACAUCUUACAUGGCAGCAGGCAAGAGAGCGUGUACAGGGGAACUGCCCUUUAUAAAACCAUCAGAGGCUUAUUCACUAUCAUGAGAACAGCACAGGAAAACCCCGCCCCCAUGAUUUAGUUACCUCCCAUUUGGUCCCUCCCAUGACACGUGGGAAUUAUGGGAGCUACAAUUCAAGAUGAGAUUUGGGUGGGAACACAGCCAAACCAUAUCAGCAGCCUUUCUCCCCACUUUAGAGAUAUCUUAUUUGUAGAGGCUAGCUUGAAAAUCCAGAGUCUUUUAAGUCAGCCUACAUUCUCAGAAAACAUGCUAUUGUUACUAGGCCUGGACACAUCAUGAAGUAUCAUGCAAGUGCCUUUGCCUGAUGGAUACACUCAUUUUCUCUUCUAUCUACAAACAAUAGUGGAGUCCUAUAUAUGCCAGGCGCUUUUCUAGGUGUUGAGAGUACAGCAGGAAACCAAACAGAAGGUAGACUCUUCGAAGCUAACAUUCUAGGGGAGAGAGACAAUCAACAAUACAAUGAGGAGAAAUAGAUGGUCAGACAGUGACUGGCACUGUGGAGAAAAAUAAGGCAAGAAAGGUUGAGGAUCUCCAGGCACAGCUUUCAAUAGAGUGGUCAAGGAUGGCCUCACUGACAAGGUGACAUUGGAACAAAAGCCUUAAGCUUCCAUGGGAACAAGCUAUGUGGGUAUGUGGGGAGGAACAUUCUGGAGGAAAAACCAUGUGCAAAUGUCCUAAAGUGGGAGCAUGUUUGAGGAACAGCAAAGAGACCAUUGUGGUUGGAACCAAGUGAGCAAGAGAUGAUGUGGUGCAGAAAAGGAGAAGGUUGUGCUGGGCCUGACAGGCAACCCAAGGACUCUCAGCUCUGAGUGAAACAUCCUCAGUGGUGCUCCAGUAUCACCUUCAUGGAGCGUCCCAGUAUCAAAUCUUCCUAUCAACUGAGACGAGUUGGCUCUCUUUCCAUAGCUUAGGAUGUGUCAGGUUAGAAUCCCCUCUGCCCCUAAUCAAAUCUUUUCUGCUCAUUUAGAGGUCAUUUUGACUGGCGCAGCGGAAUGAGGAGGCACAAGGUAGAGUAUGAGGAUCUCACUUUUUCUGUGAUUUGGUGAACAACACGAACAACACUGGAGUUUAAAUGUUCCUAAGAUAGUACCCAGGCUGUCCCCCAACACCAAGCCUCAGCAGCACAUGGGGAUGAACAGGGCACAGCGUCAGUUAAAAUUCAGUCUGUAGGAUCCGCAUUUCUCACCUGUGUCAGAGACACCUGGAUCCCACCCUGCAGGCCCCUCUCCCCUACCAAGGGUCUGUUGGGGCAACUCCCAGAGGGAAUCCGACAUGUGCCCUUGAUUUAGGCAAAUGUAGCUGUGAACGUUCUGAAGAGGAAUAGGAAAGAAGGGGCCUUGGUAUCAGAAUAGACUGAGCAGAAGAGAAAGACCCAGAAAAAGAAAGUAAUAGUAUAUGAUAAGGGGAGCAUUAAUCAAUUAAUUGCAGUGGAAGAAUCUGGCUAAGCAUUGGGGAAAAGAGAAAAUUAUUUAGUCCAUAGCUCAUAUCAAAAUUAACUUCUGUAAAAAUAUGACAAUAAAAUAUGGGCAAUUUUUUUUUUUACAACAGAGAAGGAGAGAGACUUUCUAUAUAAACCAAAAAGUAAACCACCAUCAUCAUCAUCAACAUCUAAUACUCUGUGCUUUACUUCUAUCAAGUAAUUUAAUCCUCACAAUCACUUUGUUUGGUAACAUUAAUUUUUCUCAUUUUCUACAUGGUAAAAUUGAGGCACAGACAGGGUAAUUUUCCAAAGGCCCCAACAAGUGGCAGUGCCAGGAUUCAAAGCAAACAAGUAUGACUUCAGGGUUCCUCCUUCUAUAUUACCACAAAAGAAAAUAUUGAGAGACGUGAAUACACAAAUUAAAAGCUGUAUGAAAAAAAAUCAAGUAGAGGAAAGGACAAAUGACUGGCGGAGGAGGGGGAAUCCCACCACAUAUGUAACAGAUAAAGCAUUAAUAUCCUUUACAGAACAAUUUCUCAAAUGUUAGUGCUCAGAACACCAAUGUCCUGAACCAUGCCAAUGGGUGUUCUGGGAGGAAAAAGAAAAAAGUCCUCACCGUCAAUGAAGUUUAGGAAAUGAUGUGUUAAAUCUGACCAUGGAAGUCUUUUUUCCCCUCAGUUCACCUAUUAACAUCUCACGGGACAAUAAAACUUCUGAAAUACAGCCCAGAAGAUCUCAUCUUUGUAUGUAAUGAGUUCCUACAAAUCAGGAAGGAAAAUAUGAAAAAUCCCAAUAGAAAAAUGGACGUGAGAAAAAACAGACAGUUCAAAAAAGAAAAAAUAUAAAUAGCUGUAAGCAUACAGAAACAUAUUCAACCUUGUUAUUAACGAAGGAAAAUGAAAUACGGAGGUACCAAUUUUUAUCUUUCAAUUGGGAAAAAAGGCUUACACCCAGCAUUUGUAAGAGUAGGAGGAAAAAACCACACUCUUACAAAAUCAGUGAGAUUGACUAAACAAGUACACCUUUUCUAUGGGAGGGCAAUUUGGCACUAUGUAUCAAAGGUCUUAAAAAAUAUAUAUAACUUGAUCUAGCAAAGUUUGUUCAGAGAAACUUAUAAAGAAAUACAGUACGUCCUAGAAUAAUGUUUUUCCUGUCAUUCAACAUUAUUUUCUUGCAACAUUGACAAGAAAAAAUAUUGAUUCCCUGCCGGGGCCACUGUCUGUGUGGAGUGUGCACGUUCUCCCCAUGUCUGCAUGGGUUCUGUCCAUGCACUCCCGUUGCCUCGCACAUUCUGAAGCUGUGCAUGGUAGGUGAACUGGCUUGUCUCAAUGGCCCCAGUCUGAGUGGGUGUGGGCGGGUGUGUGAGUGCACCCUGCGAUAGGAUGACAUCCUGUCCAGAGUUAGUUCCCACCUUGCACCCUGAGCUCCCAGGACAGGCUCUGGUCACCCAAGACCCUGAACUGGAAUAACUGGGUAAAAAAUGACCUGACUUAUUUUUAUUAAUCUUUUAAAAAUGUAUGUAUAGCUCACAUUUAUUUUAAUGUUUAAUAUUACAAGUGUUUGGGGUCUUUAUUUAGAAGCUUGAUAUUUUAGUGACCAGAAAUAUGCUGUGGGAACUUAACUCUUGUUUAUAUCAGUUAGCCUUUGGUAAAAUUGGUUUCCUUAUAUGUUGUUUUGCUUAAAGUUGUUCCAGUUAAAGUCACAAUUUCCAAGAACCUAUAGGGGACAUUAAGUGAGGACCUGCUGUAAUUGGACAAGUGGGCAAGGAUGUAUGUACAGGGGAGUUCAUUGCAGCAUGAUUUGUAUUAGCAAAAACGUCUAUUAAUAUGAGUCAACGAACAUUUAUACAUUGAAGUACUGUGUACCUCUUAAAAACAGUGAUAUUGAUCUGUUGUAUUCCCAUGGAAAUAUAUCCAACGUAUAUGUAAAAAUAAUCAGAUUACCAAAUAAUUUAUAACUACCUUUGUAAGAAAAAUAAAA